GGUGAAACCAUCCCAUUUGUCGGUUUAUUGGUAAUUUUGCCAUGAGUUCACUCAGUGAAGAUAGGUUGUGUUAAGACAUUCAAAUCGUCAUUAGGUAAUGAGCUGCUUGGCAGAGCUUCCCAAUAAAAGUUCAACUGUCUCUCGGGCUUUGCCUUUUAAAGCGUCUCUUAACGUCAUAAUAUUCUGCAGGUUGCUGUACAUAAACUCAUUUGUGGUGCUGCAAAAGUACUCGGAAAAUGUUGGACAUUCUUCUGACAGCCCUGAAAAUAUUGGAAGAUGAUAAAUUUCUUUUUAAUUCGACGUAAUUAGCGGUUUCCCUGUGUUGGCAUGUAUUGCAUUACGGAAAAGCAAGAAAAUCAGCGUUUGCGGUUUAAAUUUUUUGCAAAGUAAUUAAAUAAUGUGGUAUUAAAUAAUUUCUAUAGCAAUGGGUAAGAUCAAAUCUGUACAUACAUAUACACAAAUAAAAUUGUUAACGACAACCAUUUUACUGGCUUCGUAAAAUAAUAUAAUUAUAUAAUGUAUUAAUGAACAAUAAAGUCCUUGUGACAAAAUAAAAAAAUUAAAAUUAAAGAUUUUAAAGACUUUUUGGUGUGAAAGGUAAACAUUUUUCCAUUAUUUUUUCGAAAAAGGAAAAAAAUAAUAUAUAAAAGCUUGAAGGUCUGAACAUUUAGUACAUUUCCGUCCAUCUGAAUCUACCACCUAUGAUAAUUCUAUAUAAACUGUUUGGUACCAAAAUAAAAUUUUAAUUGUCUCAAUAAUUUAAGUGUGUAGCCCAGUUAUGAAUAACAGCCUGUUCCACGAUCUCGAAAGAAAAUUUGUGCGAACGAAGGCUACUCACUCACUUUCGUAUAAGAAUGCGUUCCACUAAUAUUCGUUCUUUCUUUCGCAUAGCCUUACGUGAUUCAGUGUUGCUAAAUAUUUUUUUGGAAAAAUUAAUCGCGAAAUAAGGCAAAAAAGCGCCAAAUGUCUAAUUUAAACGCGAAAAAGCAGCAGUGGCUCUGUCUCAACUGACAUUUCAUUUGUAAACAAACAAAUUGUAAAUAAACAAACAAAAUAAAAACUCUAGUGAUUGUGUUCAAACUAUUUGUGCUCUUAGAAAAUAAAAAAAAGAAUAUUUCCGUAGCCCUAUUUUUUAUGGAUGAUGUGGAGGAGGUUCAAAAUGUGCCACGGAGGCAUUUAAGAGAUGCUUCGAAUUUAUUUGAAGUACCUAACAACCAGUUUGUGGCCAAUUUUCGUGUGUCGAAGGAAGUUUUCGGGCUCUUUUGGAUAUGAUGGAAGAGAAGUGGGUGCCCGGUUGCAGAACUACCCAAAUCCGCCCCGAUUUAAAACUUCUUCUGCUGCUUCCAAAAAUUGGCACUCCUCUGGCGAACACAGGAUUCUCCUCCAUAUACUAGUGCCCGCAGCUGUGUAGUUGAUGAUUUUUUCGUGCUGGAAUUGAGAAAAUAAAAAAAUAUAUAUUUG